GGAGGGGUGGCCGAGCGGUUUAAGGCGCCUGUCUUGAAAACAGGUUUACCGGCAACGGUAACGCAGGUUCGAAUCCUGUCCCCUCCGCCA
rnacentral:tRNA from 2 species